UACGUAUGGGGCGAGCGUUGUUCGGAAUUAUUGGGCGUAAAGGGCGUCUAGGCGGGGAAUUAAGUUAGUUGUGAAAUCCAUGGGCUCAACCCAUGAACUGCAUCUAAAACUGAUUCUCUUGAGUUCGGGAGAGGAGAGCGGAAUUCCCGGUGUAGCGGUGAAAUGCGUAGAUAUCGGGAAGAACACCAGUGGCGAAGGCGGCUCUCUGGCCUAGAACUGACGCUGAAGCGCGAAAGCGUGGGGAGCGAACGGGAUUAGAUACCCGCGUA
rnacentral:rRNA from 1 species